rnacentral:rRNA from 1 species
UACGUAGGGGGCUAGCGUUGUCCGGAAUCAUUGGGCGUAAAGAGCGUGUAGGCGGUUCGGUAAGUCCGCUGUGAAAGUCGGGGGCUCAACCCUCGAAUGCCGGUGGAUACUGUCGGGCUAGAGUGCGGAAGAGGAGAGUGGAAUUCCUGGUGUAGCGGUGAAAUGCGCAGAUAUCAGGAGGAACACCGAUGGCGAAGGCGGCUUGCUGGGCCUUACCUGACGCUGAGGAGCGAAAGCGUGGGGAGCGAACAGG